rnacentral:lncRNA from 1 species
UUUUUCCCUUCCGCUCCUGCUCCAGUGGCAAGAUGUGAUCCCAGCAAGGAGGGAGGCCAGAUAUUGAUUCCUGUGGCUUGUGUACCUGGGGCCCCAGUGCCUGUCAGCUUUGGGUUGGAGUUUGUUAAUGGGAGGAAACAGGAGUUUGGAACAUGGGAAGAGACAGAGAGGUUUUGAGCCUGUCAAACACUGGAAGCUUGAUCUUGAGACUACUGACCAGAGAUGCCUGAGCCAGAGAUACUGCUGACCAGAGAUGCCUGAGAUCCAAGGACUUGCUUCAAAGGUGAGUUGAGCACGGGUCACAUAGGAACAGGGAGUCCUGUGUGCUCAGGAACCUUCCAUGUGGUGAAGGGAGAAUCAGACCUACCCAUG